UACGUAGGGUGCGAGCGUUGUCCGGAAUUAUUGGGCGUAAAGAGCUCGUAGGCGGUCUGUCGCGUCGGAUGUGAAAACCCAGGGCUUAACCCUGGGCCUGCAUUCGAUACGGGCAGACUAGAGUUCGGUAGGGGAGACUGGAAUUCCUGGUGUAGCGGUGAAAUGCGUAGAUAUCGGGAGGAACACCGGUGGCGAAGGCGGCUCUCUGGACCACUACUGACGCUGAGGCGCGAAAGCUAGGGGAGCAAACAGG
rnacentral:rRNA from 1 species